rnacentral:rRNA from 1 species
CAACCUGCCCAUGCAUGGGGGAUAACCCGGGGAAACCCGGGCUAAUACCGCAUGGGCAGGCACUUCACAGGAAGAGCCUGGGAAAGAGGCCCUCUUUACAAUGGUCUCAUGCAGGGAGGAGCUCGCGGGCUAUCAGCUAGUUGGUAGUGGUAACGGCCUACCAAGGCGACGACGGCUACGGGGUCUGAGAGGACGACCCCGCACAUUGGAACUGAGACACGGUCCAG